rnacentral:tRNA from 1 species
GGGGUGCUAGCUCAACAGCAGAGCAGCCGGCUCUUGACCGGCCGAUCAGGGUGCGACUCCCUGGCGCCUCA